rnacentral:rRNA from 1 species
AAUAUUGGACAAUGGGGGCAACCCUGAUCCAGCCAUGCCGCUUGUGUGAAGAAGGUCUUCUGUUUGUAAAGCACUUUAAGUUGGGAGGAAGGGCUUUAGGUUAAUACCCUGAAGUUUUGACGUUACCAACAGAUUAAGCACCGGCUAACUCUGUUCCAGCAGCCGCGGUAAUACAGAGGGUGCAAGCGAUAAUCGGAAUUACUGUGCGUAAAGCGCGCGUAGGUGGUUCAGUAAGAUGGGAGUGAAAGCCCCAGGCUUAACCUGGGAACUGCUUUCAUAACUGCUGGGCUAGAGUACGGUAGAGGGUAGUGGAAUUUCCUGUGUAGCGGUGAAAUGCGUAGAUAUAGGAAGGAACACCAGUGGCGAAGGCGACUACCUGGACUGAUACUGACACUGAGGUGCGAAAGCGUGGGGAGCAAAC